rnacentral:lncRNA from 10 species
CUGAGGAGAAUGUAGGUCUCAUGGAAGAUUUUCAUGUGGACAAAUUUAGUAAAUUUUUUGCAGGUAGUUUCCUGACAUAUUUAACAUUUGUGAUAUAGUAAACAAUAAGAAGGUACUAAAGUGCUGGGAUUACAGGUAUGAUCCACUGCGCCCGGCCUCCAAGCCCCCUAUUUUUAUUUUGCACUGACCCUACAAGUUACGUAGCUAGGCUUAGUUAUGUUUUUAGCAAGGAAAGUGUAUAAUCUCAUGUACCUUUUGAAAGAUUACUCAGGUCUCUGCAUGUGAAAUGGAAUUUAGGGAAUGCAAGAGAGGGAGUAAAAAUAACAGCGAGGAAG